rnacentral:rRNA from 1 species
AGUGAACAAUUCAACGGCCGCGGUACCCUAACCGUGCAAAGGUAGCAUAAUCACUUGUCUAUUAAUUGUAGACCAGCAUGAAUGGCAAAAUGAAGGCCUAACUGUCUCUUAUAGUAAAUCAAUUAAACUGAUCUCCUAGUAAAAAAGCUAGAAUAAUCACAUAAGACCAGAAGACCCUGUGAAGCUUAAACCGCACUAUUAAACCCCAUAAUAGCUACUUUUGGUUGGGGCGACCUUGGAAUAAAAAAGAACUUCCAAAUAAUGACUAUAAACCACAUAUACAUAGGCCUACAAGCCCUCACUUGACCCAGUAAAACUGAUAAUCGAACCAAGUUACUCCAGGGAUAACAGCGCCAUCUUCUUCAAGAGUCCAUAUUAAAAAGAAGGUUUACGACCUCGAUGUUGGAUCAGGACAUCCUAA